GACGAACGCUGGCGGCGUGCUUAACACAUGCAAGUCGAGCGGAAAGGCCCUUCGGGGUACUCGAGCGGCGAACGGGUGAGUAACACGUGAGUAACCUGCCCCAGACUUUGGGAUAACCCUCGGAAACGGGGGCUAAUACCGGAUACGACACAGCUUCGCAUGGGGUCUGUGUGGAAAGUUUUUCGGUUUGGGAUGGGCUCGCGGCCUAUCAGCUUGUUGGUGGGGUGAUGGCCUACCAAGGCGACGACGGGUAGCCGGCCUGAGAGGGCGACCGGCCACACUGGGACUGAGACACGGCCCAGACUCCUACGGGAGGCAGCAGUGGGGAAUAUUGCACAAUGGGCGGAAGCCUGAUGCAGCGACGCCGCGUGAGGGAUGACGGCCUUCGGGUUGUAAACCUCUUUCAGCAGGGACGAGGCGUAAGUGACGGUACCUGCAGAAGAAGCGCCGGCCAACUACGUG
rnacentral:rRNA from 1 species